CAGUCGAACGGUAAGUAUGAUAGCAAUAUUAUAUGAGAGUGACGUACGGGUGCGUAACACGUAUGCAACCUACCCUUUACAGGCGGAUAGCUCGGGGAAACUCGGAUUAACCCGUCAUAAUAUAAUUGGAUGGCAUCAUUUGGUUAUUAAGUCUACGGAGGUAAAGGAUGGGCAUGCGUCUGAUUAGUUAGUUGGCGGGGUAAUGGCCCACCAAGACGAUGAUCAGUAGGGGAACUGAGAGGUUGAUCCCCCACACUGGCACUGAGAUACGGGCCAGACUCCUACGGGAGGCAGCAGUAGGGAAUAUUGGUCAAUGGAUGGAAGUCUGAACCAGCCAUGCCGCGUGCAGGAAGAAGGCCUUCUGGGUUGUAAACUGCUUUNNNNNGGGGCUAANAANNUCAUGCGU
rnacentral:rRNA from 1 species